rnacentral:rRNA from 1 species
CGCGUAGGCGGGAUGGCAAGUCGGUCGUGAAAUCCUUCGGCUCAACCGAAGAACGUCGGCCGAUACUGCCGUUCUUGAGGGAUGCAGAGGAGACUGGAAUUCCCGGUGUAGCGGUGAAAUGUGUAGAGAUCGGGAGGAACACCGGUGGCGAAGGCGGGUCUCUGGGCAUCUCCUGACGCUGAGGCGCGAAAGCGUGGGGAGCAAACGGGAUUAGAUACCCCGGUAGUCCACGCUGUAAACGAUGACGACUAGGUGUGGGGGGGUUCAGUCCCUUCCGUGCCGCAGCUAACGCAUUAAGUCGUCCGCCUGGGGAGUACGGCCGCAAGGUUGAA